rnacentral:rRNA from 1 species
CCUACGGGUGGCAGCAGUGAGGAAUAUUGGUCAAUGGACGAGAGUCUGAACCAGCCAAGUAGCGUGAAGGAUGAAGGCCCUAUGGGUUGUAAACUUCUUGUAUAGGGGAAUAAAAUGUUCCACGUGUGGGAUUUUGUAUGUACCAUAUGAAUAAGGAUCGGCUAACUCCGUGCCAGCAGCCGCGGUAAUACGGAGGAUCCGAGCGUUAUCCGGCUUUAUUGGGGUUAAAGGGAGCGUAGGGGGCUUGUUAAGUCAGUUGGGAAAGUUUGCGGCUCAACCUUAAAAUUGCAGUUGAAACUGGCAGUCUUGAGUACAGUAGAGGUGGGCGGAAUUCGUGGUGUAGCGGUGAAAUGCUUAGAUAUCA